rnacentral:rRNA from 1 species
GGUUUGAUUCUGGCCUAGAUUGAACGCUGGCGGGAUGCUUUAUGACAUGCAAGUCGAACGGCAGCACGGACUUCGGUCUGGUGGCGAUGGCGAACGCGAGUAAUGUAUCGGAACGUGCCUAGUAGCGGGGGAUAACUACGCGAAAGCGUAGCCAAUACCGUAUACCCUUCGGGGGAAAGCGGGGACCUUCGGGCCUCGCACUAUUAGAGCGUACCGGAUAUCGGAUUAGCUAGUUGGUGGGUAACGGGCUCACUAAGGCGACGAUCCGUAGCUGGUUUGAGAGGACGACCAGCCACACUGGGACUGAGACACGGCCCAGACUCCUACGGGAGGCACUUGAAUGGGGAAAGAAACCUUCUGAUCCAUCCCGCGUGUGCGAUGAAGGCUCGGGUUGUAAAGCACUUUGCAGGAAGAAACGGCACGAUAAUACCUGCGCAACUGAUGGUACCUGCAGAAUAAGCACCGGCUAACUACGUGCCAGCAGCCGCGGUAAUACGUAGGUGCAAGCGUUAAUCGGAAUUACUGGGCGUAAAGCGUGCGCAGGUAUUCGGAAAGAAAGAUGUGAAAUCCCAGAGCUUAACUUUGGAACUGCAUUUUUAACUUACCGAGCUAGAGUGUGUCAGAGGGAGUGUGGAAUUCGCGUAGCAGUGAAAUGCGUAGAUAUGCGGAGGAACACCGGAUGGCGAAGGCAGCCUCCUGGGAUAAUACUGACGCUCAUGCACGAGCGUGGGGAGCAAACAGGAUUAGAUACCCCAGGUCCACGGGCUCCAAACGAUGUCAACUAGCUGUUAGCCUUCGCCUGGUAAAGCGCAGUUAACGCGUGAAGUUGACCGCCUGGGGAGUACGGUCGCAAGAUUAAAACUCAAAGGAAUUGACGGGACCCGCACGCGGUGGAUGAUGUGGAUUAAUUCGAUGUAACGCGAAAAACCUUACCUACCCUUUACAUGUCUUGGAAUCCUGAAGAGAUUUGGGAGUGCUCGCAGAGAACCAAACACAGGUGUUGUACGGCUGUCGUCAGUCGCCGUGAGAUGUUGGGUUAAGUCCUGCAACGAGCGCAACUCUCUUGUCAUUAGUUGCUACGAAAGGGCACUCUAAUGAGACUGCCGGUGACAAACCGGAGGAAGGUGGGGAUGACGUCAAGUCCUCAUGGCCCUUAUGGGUAGGGUCACACGUCAUACAAUGGUCGGGACAGAGGGUCGCCAACCCGCGAGGGGGAGCCAAUCCCAGAAACCCGAUCGUAGUCCGGAUCGCAGUCUGCAACCUGACUGCGUGAAGUCGGAAUCGCUAGUAAUCGCGGAUCAGCAUGUCGCGGUGAAUAUGUUCCUGGUCUUGUACACACCGCCCGUCACACCAUGGGAGUGGGUUUUACCAGAAGUAGUUAGCCUAACCGUAAGGAGGGCGAUUACCACGGUAGGAUUCAUGACUGGGGUAGUCGCACUACAG